GAACUUCAAACCUAUCACUUACAAAUGGCCAAGACAUCACUCAAUUUGGAUUUCUUAUGCAUCAUUUUGCUGAUUUCACUUGGUUCACCAUUAUUCUCAAAGGUGAUGGGAGAUUCAAGUGGCUCAAUAUCAAAUGAAUAUGAUGUGCACCCCAAUGCUCAAUUACCUUGCAAAAUUGACAAAGAUUGCCAAGGAAUAUGUCCAAUCUUUUGUAAACAUCAUUUUUGUAACCCACAACACAGUUGCACAUGUACGGACUGUGUUGAGAUAUAGAGAUUCGUGUAGGAAAUUAUUUUUUGAUUUGAUAAUACAACUAAGUAAGUAAUUAUGUUGCUUACUCUUAA